AUAGCGUAUAUUAAAGUUUUUGCAGUUAAAAAGCUCGUAGUUGAACUUCAGAUUUGGUUGGGUGGUCCGCUUAACAGCGUGUACUGUCUGACUGAACCUUACCUCUUGGUGAGCUGGUGUGCCCUUUAUUGGUGUGCACCAGGGAACCAGGACUUUUACCUUGAGAAAAUUAGAGUGUCCAAAGCAGGCACUUGCCUGAAUACAUUAGCAUGGAAUAAUGGAAUAGGACGUGUGGUUCUAUUUUGUUGGUUUCUAGAGUCACCGUAAUGAUUAAUAGGGAUAGUUGGGGGCAUUGGUAUUGAGUCGCUAGAGGUGAAAUUCUUGGAUUGACUCAAGACCAACUAGUG
rnacentral:rRNA from 1 species